UAUAAUGCAGUCGAGCGGACAGAUGGGAGCUUGCUCCCUGAUGUUAGCGGCGGACGGGUGAGUAACACGUGGGUAACCUGCCUGUAAGACUGGGAUAACUCCGGGAAACCGGGGCUAAUACCGGAUGGUUGUUUGAACCGCAUGGUUCAGACAUAAAAGGUGGCUUCGGCUACCACUUACAGAUGGACCCGCGGCGCAUUAGCUAGUUGGUGAGGUAACGGCUCACCAAGGCGACGAUGCGUAGCCGACCUGAGAGGGUGAUCGGCCACACUGGGACUGAGACACGGCCCAGACUCCUACGGGAGGCAGCAGUAGGGAAUCUUCCGCAAUGGACGAAAGUCUGACGGAGCAACGCCGCGUGAGUGAUGAAGGUUUUCGGAUCGUAAAGCUCUGUUGUUAGGGAAGAACAAGUGCCGUUCAAAUAGGGCGGCACCUUGACGGUACCUAACCAGAAAGCCACGGCUAACUACGUGCCAGCAGCCGCGGUAAUACGUAGGUGGCAAGCGUUGUCCGGAAUUAUUGGGCGUAAAGGGCUCGCAGGCGGUUUCUUAAGUCUGAUGUGAAAGCCCCCGGCUCAACCGGGGAGGGUCAUUGGAAACUGGGGAACUUGAGUGCAGAAGAGGAGAGUGGAAUUCCACGUGUAGCGGUGAAAUGCGUAGAGAUGUGGAGGAACACCAGUGGCGAAGGCGACUCUCUGGUCUGUAACUGACGCUGAGGAG
rnacentral:rRNA from 1 species